AAGUCGAACGCUGAAGCACCAGCUUGCUGGUGUGGAUGAGUGGCGAACGGGUGAGUAAUACGUGAGUAACCUGCCCUUGACUCUGGGAUAAGCCCGGGAAACUGGGUCUAAUACUGGAUGCUACAUGUCACCGCAUGGUGGUGUGUGGAAAGGGUUUACUGGUCUUGGAUGGGCUCACGGCCUAUCAGCUUGUUGGUGAGGUAAUGGCUCACCAAGGCGACGACGGGUAGCCGGCCUGAGAGGGUGACCGGCCACACUGGGACUGAGACACGGCCCAGACUCCUACGGGAGGCAGCAGUGGGGAAUAUUGCACAAUGGGCGAAAGCCUGAUGCAGCGACGCCGCGUGAGGGAUGACGGCCUUCGGGUUGUAAACCUCUUUCAGCAGGGAAGAAGCCACAAGUGACGGUACCUGCAGAAGAAGCGCCGGCUAACUACGUGCCAGCAGCCGCGGUAAUACGUAGGGCGCAAGCGUUGUCCGGAAUUAUUGGGCGUAAAGAGCUCGUAGGCGGUUUGUCGCGUCUGCUGUGAAAGCCCGGGGCUUAACCCCGGGUGUGCAGUGGGUACGGGCAGACUAGAGUGCAGUAGGGGAGACUGGAAUUCCUGGUGUAGCGGUGGAAUGCGCAGAUAUCAGGAGGAACACCGAUGGCGAAGGCAGGUCUCUGGGCUGUUACUGACGCUGAGGAGCGAAAGCAUGGGGAGCGAACAGGAUUAGAUACCCUGGUAGUCCAUGCCGUAAACGUUGGGCACUAGGUGUGGGGGACAUUCCACGUUUUCCGCGCCGUAGCUAACGCAUUAAGUGCCCCGCCUGGGGAGUACGGCCGCAAGGCUAAAACUCAAAGGAAUUGACGGGGGCCCGCACAAGCGGCGGAGCAUGCGGAUUAAUUCGAUGCAACGCGAAGAACCUUACCAAGGCUUGACAUAUACCGGAUCGUUCCAGAGAUGGUUCUUCCCCUUUGGGGUCGGUAUACAGGUGGUGCAUGGUUGUCGUCAGCUCGUG
rnacentral:rRNA from 1 species